GAUGAACGCUGGCGGUAUGCUUAACACAUGCAAGUCGAACGGUCACUUCGGUGAUAGUGGCGGACGGGUGAGUAACGCGUGAGAAUCUGUCUUCAGGUCGGGGACAACAGUUAGAAAUGACUGCUAAUACCGGAUGUGCCUUUGGGUGAAAGAUUUAUUGCCUGAAAAAGAGCUCGCGUCAGAUUAGCUAGUAGGUGGUGUAAGAGACUACCUAGGCUCCGAUCUGUAGCUGGUCUGAGAGGACGAUCAGCCACACUGGAACUGAGACACGGUCCAGACUCCUACGGGAGGCAGCAGUGGGGAAUUUUCCGCAAUGGGCGAAAGCCUGACGGAGCAAUACCGCGUGAGGGACGAAGGCUUUUGGGUCGUAAACCUCUUUUCUCAAGGAAGAUGAUGAUGGUACUUGAGGAAUAAGCAUCGGCUAACUCUGU
rnacentral:rRNA from 1 species